UUAUCGAUUCAAUUGAUCAAAUUAUUCAUAUAGGACAAUUAACCAACCAAUUAAUUAAAAAAAACAAUAAUAAAAUGACAAAACUUGAUCUUUCAAUAAUAUUACUAAUAUCAUAAUAUAAUAUUUAUAAUUCAUUUAAAUGGUAGAAUAUACGUGUGUUGCCCUGUUUUAGUCAACAAUGCUUUACAGAAAAUAAUUUUAAAAAAUAAAUGCUACAACUCCGAAUCAAACACACGACCUAUGGGCAACAAAAGUGCCGCUUUGCCACUUGCACUAGAUAGUGUUUUGGUAUUAUGGGUGGCAGAUUUAAUAUUUGACUAUAUCAGUAUUAAAAAAACAAAUGAUGCAAAUUGGGAUCGAACCCACAACUUAUGUGCAACAGAAGUGGCACUUUGCCACUUACAGUAUAUAGUGAUUUGGUAUUAUGGGUGGCAUAUUUAAUAUUUGACUAUAUCAGCAUAUCUAUAUAUAUAGAGUUUCCUUCGAAGUUUGUGGUGGCGUGCCACCCCCACGACAAUGAAUAGAUCCGCCCCUGAGCAAAAUGAUUUCUAUAAAUCAUUAACUCUAGAAGUAGAACCUAUUUGACUUAUAAUAAGAAUCCUAAGUUGGUAGAUUUUGAAGAGUUCAAGCAACACAGUAAGAAUCCAUUAAAUAAGCUUCUCCAAUACUUUUGAUUUAUGAUAUUUUUUAAACUGUAUCUCUUUGGAAAUGUAGUAGGUCACCUCAAUCCAACUUCAAGCAUUAGAAUUUGAUGCGGUUNNNNNNNNNNNNNNNNNNNNNNNCGGUUCAGCUUCCACAUAGAAAACACAUAUUUGGUACUAUAAUUAUAUAUUUUCGUUGCGUAUAGUUAAAUAACAAGCUGUUGUAGUAUAGUGGUGAGUUUUCCUGACUGUCACGCGGGUAACUCGGGUUUGAUCCUUGGCAACAGUGCUUCUCUUUUCUUUUUGCCAUUUUAUCAUCCAAUUUUGUUUUCUCUGUAAGUUGGUCUCUUUUGUUUAAUUGAGCUUCCGUUAUACGUUAGAGAAGAUACCUACAAGACAAAUAGAAAAAAAUAAGAUAGAUAAAGGUGAAUCAAGAUUCAUAGGCGGAUCAAAGUUGAAAAGAAAUUAUUGGUUGGAUGUAGACGAAGCCAAAUAUAGUUAGAUGAAGCCGUAGGAACUCCUGUAACGCAAUCCCAACUACAUGAAGUUAACUCACCAAAACGAAUGGAUCACUUUCUAAUCCUCACUCCCAAAGUCUUAUCCUCAGAGCUAUAUAGGAAUCUCAAUUUGAAAAGUGGCAAACAAUUCUUCAAAAUGGCUAUUUAAUUUAAUUCUUACAACUUUUACUACUAGCAAAGCUGAUAAAUAAACGAGAGCUCCUUUUCAAUGCCAAAACGUGAUUUGGUCUCCAAUUUCUGACAUUUACAAUGACGAAUCAUGGGAGUCCUCUCUCUUGUCAGGGACCUCCA
rnacentral:lncRNA from 1 species